UGGGGAAUCUUGGACAAUGGGCGCAAGCCUGAUCCAGCCAUGCCGCGUGGAUGAUGAAGGCCCUAGGGUUGUAAAAUCCUUUUCGUUGGGGACGAUAAUGACGGUACCCAAAGAAGAAGCUCCGGCUAACUUCGUGCCAGCAGCCGCGGUAAUACGAAGGGGGCUAGCGUUGUUCGGAUUUACUGGGCGUAAAGCGCGUGUAGGCGGGUCGUUAAGUUGGGGGUGAAAUCCCGGAGCUCAACUCCGGAACUGCCUCUGAUACUGCACGUCUUGAGUUCGAGAGAGGUGGGUGGAAUUCCUAGUGUAGAGGUGAAAUUCGUAGAUAUUAGGAAGAACACCGGUGGCGAAGGCGGCCCACUGGCUCGAUACUGACGCUGAGGUGCGAAAGCGUGGGGAGCAAACAGGAUUAGAUACCCCUGUAGUCCCUGAGCGGGCUGGCAAGGCGCAU
rnacentral:rRNA from 1 species